CAAAGAGUAGUUUAAUUGAGAAUACUAGCUUUGGGAGUUAGUGGUAGGGGUUAAAAUCCCUUCUCUUUGA
rnacentral:tRNA from 2 species